CGUCCAUCUUUCUUGAAGGCAAGAAGGCUCCCCACGACCUCCCCUUGGUUUUGUCUUCCCUCUAAAAACCCACCUGCAGCGGCCAUCUUAUUUGAGGGCAAGUGGACGACAAGACCAGAGACGCCAGACGGGCGCCAUGUUCGAUAUGGUGGAGGGACGGCGCCCUUAAGAGCAAUCCUUGACAACUGAACCCAGGAUGUCGCCAUAUUUUCUGAAGGCACCUUCCGGGUCCCUCAACCAGUGUGUCUAUGGCCAAGCUGCCAAGAAAUGAAUAAACACCGAGGGAGUUGGUUUGUCCCUAUGAGAAUCCCUGAAUCCCUAGCAGAUAGUCCCUGCUACUUCGGUUCCCUGGGCUGCGUUCGGAAGCCUAGGCUGGGAGGGGCCGUGGCCUGGGGAGCCGUUCCUGCUGACGACGAAAGCUGAUCCGGGAGCGGGGAGGACGAAAGCUGAUCCGGGAGCGGGGAGGCGGUGGCCCUGGGGACAAGGUGGCCACAGCUCGAGGCUGGAAGGCCCCAUGGCGCCGCCCCCAGCCCUGCUCCAGGCACUCACAGCUGGGGAGACCCGGCCUGGUUGCAAGAAGCCCGGGUCCGUGAGCUUCGCGGACGUGGCCGUGUACUUCUCCUCGGAGGAGUGGGGGUGUCUGCGGCCGGCGCAGAGAGCCCUGUACCGGGACGUGAUGCGGGAGACCUACGGCCACCUGGGCGCGCUCGGAUUCCCAGGCCCUAAACCAGAUCUCAUCUCUUGGAUGGAACAAGAGAGUGAGGCUUGGAGCACCGACGCCCAGGAUCCUGAGGAGGGGGAAAGCGUGGGAGGAGCUCUGAGAGGAGACUCCCCAAACAAUAAGGAAGAGGAACCAAAAGAACUACCAGGAGCCACGGGACCCAGAAAGACUCCUGGGAAGCAUAGGCCUGAGGAGCUGGUUAAACAUAACCCUGACUCAGUUGUGAUCAAGACCUCAGCACGACCACAACCACUCACAAAAACGACCUGGGACCAGAGCACAGUUGCGCAACCCCCAGUUCCGGUACCCGGCGUGAGCUCUCAAGACAGCCAGCGGCGCCAUGUAUGUGCAGACUGUGGUCGCCGCUUCACCUACCCAUCGCUGCUGGUCAGCCACCGGCGCAUGCACUCUGGUGAGCGGCCCUUCCCUUGCCCGGAGUGUGGCAUGCGUUUCAAAAGGAAGUUUGCGGUGGAAGCACACCAGUGGAUCCACCGCUCCUGCUCUGGGGGGCGACGGGGCCGGAGACCUGGAAUCCGGGCUGUGCCUCGAGCCCCUGUUAGGGGUGACCGGGACCCACCCGUGCUAUUCAGGCACUACCCGGACAUAUUUGAGGAGUGCGGUUGUUCUUGCUUCCUGACCUUGGAGUUGGGAAGAAAGAUACCCAUGAGAAGCUUCUGCCAUGGAAUCUGUAUGGCUCAGUGGCUGACAAUAUGAUCUGUGAACAAGUAAGCCCCAGAGAUUUGAAGGAUGGAGAGUAGAGAGCUGGAGCAAGGGAGCCUGACUGCUGGGCAAGGGGCAGUCAGGAGUGGGAGGGUGUGAAGGCCAAGGAGUGACCAGAACUGGAGAGGGGUGAGUCAAAGAGAAGGUGGAGCUGGAGAGAGGCAGUGCCACCAGGAAGGGGGGAGCAUAACAAAAUGUACCAUUUUAAAUAUUUUUAAGUGUAUAGUUUAGGGGCAUUAAGUCCAUUCACACUAUUGUACAACCAUCACCACCAUCCCUCACCAGAACUUUUUCAUCUUCCCCAACUGAAACCUUGUACCCAUUAAAUAACAACGCUCUAUGCUUCCUUCCCCCAGCCCCUGGCUACCACCAUUUUACUAUCUGUCUCUAUGUAUUUGACUACUUUAGGUACCUCAUAUAAACCAUUGGGGGGUGUUUAAGCAGAGUGUCAAGAUAAUCUGAUAUUAAUUAAUUAAUUAAUUAAAAAUAAAUAAAUAAAACCCACUCUGACUGUUCUGAGAAUGGACUGCAGAGUAGAGAUAAGGAGUAGUACCACCAGAGGUAAACACUGGAAGAUGAAUGGACAGAGCCUGUCUGUGGGCUGGAUGUGGUGGCUGAGAGCAUCAGAGGAGCCCAGAACAAUAAUGUUUUUAGCUGAGUGGGGAAGAUGGAGGAGCCAGUUCCUGGGGUGGCCCUGGGGGUGAUGACAGGGUGAACCACAGCAUUUUUGAGCUGGAAGGGAGCUCUUGGAGAUGGCUAGUUCUAUGUUUUAAGAAGGGUUUGGGAAGCAGAAGGUGGAAUAGGUUUCUUUGUUGAUGGGACUCUUUAAGGGGCAUAGGGAAGAAUGCUUGUCUUUCCAUCAAGCAUCUCAUGGGAAUGUUGGUCCACAGAAUAGGCUCUGAGAAAAGCUGAGGCCCAGAGAAGGGAAGGUACUUACUUAAGAUCACAGCUGAGUUAGUGGCAGAGGUAAGCAUGGAACUCAGACCUCCCAAUUUCUCAGCUGAUAUACUUCCUCU